CAGACAGAGAUAAACACCUACAAGAUCUCUAUCAAGCAUUCUUAAAACUACAAUACCCACCUGCUGAAGUGAAAAAACAGAUUGACAGAGCCAGAAGAGUACCCAGAAGACGCCACCUACAGGGCAGGCCCAACAAAGAAAAUAACAGAACGCCACCAGCCGCCACCUUCAGCCCCCAACUGAAACCUCUCCAGCGCAUCAUCAGAGAUCUACAACCUAUCCUGAAAGAUGAUCACUCACUCUCACAGAUCUUGGGAGACAGACCAGUCCUCGCUUACAGACAACCCCCCAACCUUAAGCAAAUACUCACCAGCAACCGCACACCAUACAACAAAAACACUGACCCAGGAACCUAUCCUUGCAACAAAGUCCGAUGCCAGCUCUGUCCACAUAUCUAUUCAAGUGACACCCUCAUAGGACCUAAUCACAUCAGCCAUGCCAUCAGGGGCUCGUUCACCUGCACAUCUACCAAUGUGAUAUAUGCCAUCAUGUGCCAGCAAUGCCCCUCUGCCAUGUACAUUGGCCAAACUGGACAGUCCCUACGCAAAAGAAUAAAUGGACACAAAUCUGAUAUCAGGAAACAUAACAUUCAAAAACCAGUGGGAGAACACUUCAACCUCUCUAAUCACUCAGUGACAGACUUGGAGGUGUCAGUUUUGCAACAAAAAAACUUCAAAAACAGACUCCAAAGAGAGACUGCUGAACUCGAAUUAAUAUGGAAAUUAGACACAAUUAACUUAGGCCUAAACAGAGACUGGGAAUGGUUGGGUCAUUACACUAAUUGAAUUUUUUUCCCCCCAUGUUAAGUUCUCCUCACACCUUCUAUGGGUCAUCUCGAUUAUCACUUCAAAGUUUUUUCUUCUGCUGCUACUGAUAGCUCAUCUCAACUGAUUGGCCUCUUACAAUUGGUAUGCGUACUUCCACCUUUUCAUGUUCUCUGUAUGGAUAAAUAUCUUCUGUGUGUGUGUGUUUCACUCUAUGCAUCCGAAGAAGUGGGCUGUAGCCCACGAAAGCUUAUGCUGAAAUCAAUGUGUUAGUCUCCAAGGUGCCACAAGUACUCCUGUUCUUUUUGCGGAUACAGACUAACACGGCUGCUACCUUGUAACUUGCUCCUUCCCUUU
rnacentral:lncRNA from 1 species